rnacentral:rRNA from 1 species
GACGAACGCUGGCGGCGUGCUUAACACAUGCAAGUCGAACGGAAAGGCCCUGCUUUUGUGGGGUGCUCGAGUGGCGAACGGGUGAGUAACACGUGAGUAACCUGCCCUUGACUUUGGGAUAACUUCAGGAAACUGGGGCUAAUACCGGAUAGGAGCUCCUGCUGCAUGGUGGGGGUUGGAAAGUUUCGGCGGUUGGGGAUGGACUCGCGGCUUAUCAGCUUGUUGGUGGGGUAGUGGCUUACCCAGGCUUUGACGGGUAGCCGGCCUGAGAGGGUGAACGGCCACAUUGGGACUGAGAGACGGCCCAGACUCCUACGGGAGGCAGCAGUGGGGAAUAUUGCACAAUGGGCGGAAGCCUGAUGCAGCGACGCCGCGUGCGGGAUGACGGCCUUCGGGUUGUAAACCGCUUUCGCCUGUGACGAAGCGUGAGUGACGGUAAUGGGUAAAGAAGCACCGGCUAACUACGUG